UACAUAGGUGGCAAGCGUUGUCCGGAUUUACUGGGUGUAAAGGGCGUGCAGCCGGAGAGACAAGUCAGAUGUGAAAUCCACGGGCUCAACCCGUGAACUGCAUUUGAAACUGUUUCCCUUGAGUGUCGGAGAGGUAAUCGGAAUUCCUAGUGUAGCGGUGAAAUGCGUAGAUAUUAGGAAGAACACCAGUGGCGAAGGCGGAUUACUGGACGAUAACUGACGGUGAGGCGCGAAAGCGUGGGGAGCAAACAGG
rnacentral:rRNA from 1 species